UACGUAGGCAGCGAGCGUUGUUCGGAGUUACUGGGCGUAAAGGGUGUGUAGGCGGUUGUUUAAGUUUGGUGUGAAAUCUCCCGGCUCAACUGGGAGGGUGCGCCGAAUACUGAAUGACUAGAGUGCGGGAGAGGUGAGUGGAAUUCCUGGUGUAGAGGUGAAAUUCGUAGAUAUCGGGAGGAACACCAGUGGCGAAGGCGGCGAUCUGGGAAGAUACUGACGCUGAGGUGCGAAAGCGUGGGGAGCAAACAGG
rnacentral:rRNA from 1 species